AUACGUAGGGUGCGAGCGUUGUCCGGAAUUACUGGGUGUAAAGGGAGCGUAGGCGGGGGUUCAAGCCCUAUGUUAAAUCCAUCGGCUCAACCGGUGGCUGCGUAGGGAACUGGAUCUCUUGAGUGAAGUAGAGGCAGGCGGAAUUCCUAGUGUAGCGGUGAAAUGCGUAGAUAUUAGGAGGAACACCAGUGGCGAAGGCGGCCUGCUGGGCUUUUACUGACGCUGAGGCUCGAAAGCGUGGGGAGC
rnacentral:rRNA from 1 species